CAAAGAUAGAAUGCUGCUCCUAAAUUUGAAGCAAACAGAAACCAACCUCACUCAGAUGCUUUGUGUAUAAAUGUGGCUCUCUCUUCCAUUCAAAUCAGCCUCCUUUAGCGGGUUCGGAUUUGAUUGGUCCUGCCUGUGAUUCAAGAGGACAGUUUCAAUCCAGGACUCCAGGAUUACGGGUGGAGGGAAUCCAACAACUACAAAAUAAGAAGAGAGAGAGACACAUAGGAUGGACACUAUGGGAAGAUGGAGGCCAAGGAUGGAGGACUGCAUCUUCAGCCGAGGAUUGAAGGCUGCCAGCAGAAGCUGGAGGAGGCAAGGAGGGGUCCUCCCCUGGAGCCUUCGAGGGAGCAUGGCCCUGCCAACAUCUGGAUUUCAGACCUUCAGCCUCCGGAACAGUGACAGAAUCAAUGUCUGUUGUGUUAAGCCCUGGGAAGCUCACCCAUCAGCUGAGAGUGAGGGUGGGGGAGGAGGUGACCGAGAUGUGAGGAGCGGGGAGUAGGUGUGAGGACAAUCACUGGAUCAUGGAAGUGUUGAACCGCUGCUUAGCCAUCCUGAGUGAAUGUGACGUGGGUGUCCAUUUGUUUCAAGGAAGACCAGUCAGCAUGGUGUGUGUGCUCUAGUGGCCCCCAGCUGGAUGGGUGCAGUUUAACUACAGCAUUUAAGCUGUAGGUGAGUGAGGGGCAAGGCAGUGGAGGGUAUUUGCAAGGAAGUGGAAAUAGUAAGUAGAUUGCAGAAUGAAAGCUGGAUGUAGAGGCAGGCACUGAGACACGCUUGAGGGAGGAAGGGAGGACAAACCAGGAAAAAGCCAGAGAAGCAAUGAGUGUGGGUCCCAGUCAAGGUUUAGUUUUCAUCUUCCAAUUCCUGGCACAGUACGUCACAUAUUUCUCUCCAAUAAAUUGGCUAAUUAAAAUAAUACAGCCCCAAAGCUCUGCUUCUAAGCCAAGUAAUUUGCUUAGAAAAUUAAGGCUCUGGGUUUAAAUGUUAUAGAAGAAUGGAAUUUUUUAGAACAGGAAGAAGACUUAGCAAGCACCCGGCCAGACACUCCCAUGUUUUUAGAGGAGGAAAUACUUAAGGAUUUAAACAUCCCCUGAGAGGACCCUACCACUACACAGGGAGGACUGUGCAGUGUUCACCACCACCAGCCAGACUAGAACUCUUGAAGAAUGGCUAUCAAUGUGUGAACAUGUCUGUGUACAAGUUUGGAAGGAAAUACAGAGUUCUUCUAACCUAGAACCACCUCUGGUCAUCUACAACUUGCUUGAUGUAAACAUCAAUCAACUUAAACAUGAUGGAAACAACUUUGGAAUGCAGUUCUUUUAACAUAUCACCAAUAUGUCUAUUAAUGAUUAUUUAGGACGGUUUGUUUUACAGAGCACAUUUUAAGCAUCUGGAAAUAUUAGAAUAAAAAGUAACUAUAUUAUUAUAUCUAUGUUCUAUUUAAAUGUACUUGUCUUUCUCACUAAAUUACACCAUAAAAAGAAGAAAAACCUACAUUUUUAAAUGUCUUUUAGUAAUUUGGCAAAGACAGAGUUACCAGGCCUAGGCGAAGGCGGGGAGAAGGAUGGGCGUGG
rnacentral:lncRNA from 10 species